UACGUAGGGGGCUAGCGUUGUCCGGGAAUCAUUGGGCGUAAAGCGCGUGGUAGGCGGCCCGAUAAAGUCCGCUGUGAAAGUCCCAGGGCUCAACCCUGGGAUGGCCGGUGGAUACUGUCGGGCUCGAGUCCGGAAGAGGCGAGUGGAAUUCCUGGUGGUAGCGGUGAAAUGCGCAGACUAUCAGGAGGAACACCAAUGGCGAAGGCAGCUCGCUGGGACGACUGACGCUGAGAACGCGAAAGCGUGGGGAGCAAACAGG
rnacentral:rRNA from 1 species